UUAGUAUCACUUUCCCAUUUUUCUUCUUUGUGUUUUGUAUUUAGUAUCUUUUCCCAAUCGGUGCUCCCCUACCCCGCGAUUUCUAUCGUGAACUAGAAUUGAUGAUUUAUUGAUCGGCCUGGGCUCUAAUUGUUUUAAUGUCGUUUUGUUAACUAUGUGUUUCUGGGGUGUUAAUUGUUGAAUACAAACGGCUGACCAUAUGCGCAGUAAAUCCUAGUUACCUACUUAGAUAUGGAGCAGAUGAUGGAUUUAUUUAGAUAUGGAGCAGAUGAUGAAUUUAUAAUGGUAUUGGGACACCGGAUACCCAGUUAAUAGGUUCACCGUUUGGGAUGGUUGCUCAAAUCUUAGCACAAACAAGUUGGAUUUGAGCAUCCGUUGGAGAAGCGAAAGUAGAAUUUUGUUACUAGGGUUCCAUCCUAAUUCCUACAUAGUUAACAAAAAGCCAAAAUCGCGAGCAUUAUGCAUUGGAAAGUACGAUAGCUACAUCUGUGUUUAUAACAUGAAGCUUUACGGCUGGAUCACGAGAUUCUCUCUCGGAAACUAAUUAAACAAUGUAAAAAUUGAAUACCAUGUAUAUUUCUAGAAGGAAAAUUCUACUUGUACAUAAUUAUUGCACACAAUGGUGUCCAUAAUGUGACGUGACAAUCAUCCGGUUGUUCAUGUGCAAGUAUGAGAUUUGAAUUAAAGGUUGGAUCCAAUGUUACGUGUAAUUAUGGACGCCAUUAUGUAGACAAUUAUGUACAUGUAACACUUCCUUUUUUAGAAUAAUGCCCUUCAUAAUGAGGACUGCCGAUAGUCUUCAUACAUGGUAUAUAAGUGGCAGUUUGUUAUUUUAUGCACUAAUGUUAGGGGUGGACGCCAAACCAUAAACCAAUGAUUUUUUUUUUUU
rnacentral:lncRNA from 1 species